GUNGCUGUUUGGCAGCACAUAUACUAAAAUUAGAACAAUACANAGAAGAUUAGCAUGGCCCCUGUGCAAG
ensembl:snRNA U6 U6 spliceosomal RNA